GGAGGGUUGGCCGAGCGGUCGAUGGCACCCACUUGAAAACUGGGCAGGCGGGUACCCGCCUCGGGGGUUCGAAUCCCUCACCCUAUU
rnacentral:tRNA from 1 species